GUCCCGCCCCUUUGUGGAAGGCUGCCCUCCCAGGGAGGGCAGCGCAAGACAGCAAGUCAUCUCCAUUUCCUAGCCCACUUUCAAAAUGGCAGCCGGAAGGAAAUUUGUGAUUAGAAGCCGCGCUGUUCUUAUUUAAGAGCGUUAGCGCAACUUCCGGUAUUGUUGCAAGAUGGCCGCGCCCAGUGAUGGAUUCAAGCCUCGUGAACGAAGCGGUGGGGAGCAGGCACAGGACUGGGAUGCUCUGCCACCCAAGCGGCCCCGACUAGGGGCAGGAAACAAGAUCGGAGGCCGUAGGCUUAUUGUGGUGCUGGAAGGGGCCAGUCUGGAGACAGUCAAGGUAGGGAAGACAUAUGAGCUACUCAACUGUGACAAGCACAAGUCUGUAUUGUUGAAGAAUGGACGGGACCCUGGGGAAGUGCGGCCAGACAUCACCCACCAGAGUUUGCUGAUGCUGAUGGAUAGUCCCCUGAACCGAGCUGGCUUGCUACAGGUUUAUAUCCAUACACAGAAGAAUGUUCUGAUUGAAGUGAAUCCCCAGACCCGAAUUCCCAGAACCUUUGACCGCUUUUGUGGCCUCAUGGUUCAACUUUUACACAAGCUCAGUGUUCGAGCAGCUGAUGGCCCCCAGAAGCUUUUGAAGGUAAUUAAGAAUCCAGUAUCAGAUCACUUUCCAGUUGGAUGUAUGAAAGUUGGCACUUCUUUUUCCAUCCCGGUUGUCAGUGAUGUGCGUGAGCUGGUGCCCAGCAGUGAUCCUAUUGUUUUUGUGGUAGGGGCCUUUGCCCAUGGCAAGAGAUGCGACUUGCUCUGUUGUCCAGACUUGAGUGCAGUAGCUCAAUCAUAGCUCACUGCAGCCUUGAAUUCCGGGCUACCACGCCCAGCUUGUUACUGUAUUUUUGAAUGUCUGAAGUGAAGAAUGAAUCUAAGUGGGGACUGCUUGGCUCGGUCAUUCAGUUACAUCCACAGCAGAGAGAAACUGAGGAUUCUUUGUUGAUGAGGUGUCUGGAUCGUAUCUAUUCCAGAGUAAAGUCAUGAUGGCUUUAUGACGUUCUGAGGUGCGUUUUGCAGGAGGGGACGUUGUUGAGUUCCAAACAAGUGAGGUAUUGCACACUAGCAAACACAUGAGAAGAAGGCGGAGGAAUUGGGAGAAAAAUAAAAAGAAUGCAGCAGGCCAGGUUAGCAGGAACGUUAAGACGGUGACAGAGAACAGCAAAGCCUGGAAGCAAGCCGCCGUGGAGAAGGAAGAACUGUGCUGGGGACGCGGUGGCUCCACGUCUGUAAUCCCAGCACUUUGGGAGGCCAAGGCAGGCGGAUCACCAGGUCAAGAGUUCAAGACCAGCCUGACCAACAUGGUGAAACCCCAUCUCUACUAAAAAUACAAAAAUUAGCCGGGCGUGGUGGUGCAUGCCUGUAAUCCCAGCUACUCAGGAGGCUGAGGCAGGAGAAUCGCUUGAACCCAGGAGGCGGAGGUUGCAGUGAGCUGAGAUCGUCUCACUGUACUCCAGCCUGGGCAACAGAGCCAGACUCCGUCUCAAAAAAAAAAAAGUGUUUUCCUUCUUCAUAUUGGUUCUCUGUUAUCUAGUCAUGAAAUCCUGUUGAUUCCUCCUUUCCAGUCUCUCUCACCAUCACUGUCACCAUGACCAUCACCACUCCCUUUUUCCUCUGCUGAUUUGCAGUUAAAACCCUUAUGAAUCUCACCCUUAAAUCCUUGCAAUGGCCUCCUACCUGAUCUCUGCCUGCACCACGUCUUCCCAGCAGUCCUAUACCAGGGUAAUCUUCCUUCAGCUCCUGCUCAGAAACCAUCAAUAGGUCCUAGCUGACUACUCAACAGAGUCAGCAAUCCUGUCUGUUCUACCUUCAAAAUAAAUCCAAAAUCUGACCACUUCUCUCCGCCUCUACUGCUUCCCCUGGUCUGAGUUGCCACUAUCUCUGGAUUAUUAUUAUUAAUAUAUCAUUAUUAUAUUCAAUGUAUUAUUAUAUAGUUGCCUCCUGACUGAUCUCACCCUGCCUUUGCCUCCCUUCAGUCUAGCCUUAAUGAAGCAUCUAGAGGGUUCUAUUCAACUUAAGUCAGCAGGUCACUCCUCUGCUCAAAGCCCUCUCAAGGCCUCCAUUCUCACUCAGAUCAAAAGGCUGAUUGCCAGCACCCGCAGGUUCUGUCCCUCUGCCCGGGCCCCACUGUCCUCUGACUCAUCUGUCAAUCUGGCCUCUAGCCGUCUGCUCCAGCCCCAAAGCUUUCCCUUCCUGGAAUGUUAAGCAGGUCCAGCCUUGGUGCCUUCACAUGGUAAGUUCCUUGCCUGGAAGGCUCUUUGCACAGAUAAGCUCAAAUCCUUCCUACACCUCAGGUCCUUUGUAAAAUGUCACCAUAAGUAUCAGUGAGGACUUCCCUAUCUUAUCUAGAAGUGUAUACAACACUACCCCUCCCCACCCUGUAACCCUCCCCCAUCACACACUUCUUGUUCUUCUUUCCUGCUUUUUCUAUUUUUCUUCUCAGUACUUAUUACCUUUUGACAUACCACAUAUCUUACUUUUCAGUCUUUCAAAGCAGGGAUUAUCAUCUACUUUAGUCCCUACCGUACCCCAGUGCCUAGUACAGUUCCUGGUACACAAAAUUUCUCAAAAAGUAUUAGCUGAAUGGCCGAACAAUGAGUGAACAAGUGCUCUGUACUCUAGGCAGUCAAUACAAUAUUUAUUAAGCACUCACUAUGUGGUUAGCAUUGCAUUAGGCAUUGGGGGAAUAUGGUAGAAUUUUAAGAGGUGCUUUCUAUUCUUAAGGAGCAAAAUCAAACAAUGAUGUUCUAUGCUAAGGGCUAACUGUAUGGAAUAGCCAAUGUUGUAGAGGUUAAAGAGAAAUCAAUCUCAACCACAGUAGUCGGGAGAAGUAGUUCUUGAACAGAGAAGAGAUGACGGCAUUCCAAGGGAGGAUAAUGUAGUAAAGACACAGCGGUAGGAAGGAGCAUGGGGCAUUCACUCCAAGAGACUGGGCUAAUUUCAAGGGAGGAAAAAUAUUGUAACAAAAUGGAUGGGAAAUUGAAAAACUAGGCAGAGUCUGAAAUUGAUAAAUGGGAAAAAAAAUCAAUUGACUAGGUGUAGGAGAAGGAAAAGGACAAAUUAAAGAUGUUUAUGCCACUGAUAUAAUGGUCUUCAGGUCUUCAAACCUUUUUGCUGGCAUAGCUCCUAGAAGAAUUUUGAAAAACUAUAUAUCCUCCUUUCACAUUUUAAAGUUGCCAUCUAAACCUUAUGUUUUUAUUUCUUUAUUUUUUAUUUUCUUGAGACAAUACUUCACUCUGUUGCCCAGGCUGGAGUGCAGCGGCACAAUCACAGCUCACUGCAGUUUCAACUUCCUGGGUUCAAGUGAUCCUCCUGCCUGAGCCUCCCAAGUAGCUAGGACUAUAGGUAUGUGCCACCAUGCCCCCAAAACGACAGCAAAUUAUGUGUGUGUGUGUGUGUGUGUGUGUGUGUGUGUGUGUGUGUGUUUCAAGACACAGUCUCACUCUGUUGCCCAGGCUGGAGUGCAGUGGUGCAAUCUUGGCUUACUGCAACCUCUGCCUCCCAGGUUCAAGCGAUUCUCCUGCCUCAGCCUCCCAAGUAGAUGGGAUUACAACUGUGUGUCACCAUACAUGGCUGAUUUUCUUUUCUUUUUUUUUUUUGAGAUGGAGUUUCGCUCUUGUUGCCCAGGCUGAAGUCAAUGGCGUGAUCUCGGCUCACCGUAACCUCUGCCUCCUGGGUUCAAGUGAUUCUCCUGCCUCAGCCUCCCGAGUAGCUGGGAUUACAGGCAUGCGCCACCACGCGGGGCUAAUUUUGUAUUUUUAGUAGAGACAGGAUUUCACCAUGUUGGUCAGGCUGGUCUCGAACUCCUGACCUCAGGUGAUCCUCCUGCCUUAGCUUCCCAAAGUGCUGGGAUUACAGGGGAGAGCCACUGCACCUGGCCGCAUGGCUGAUUUUUGUAUUUUUAGUAGAGUAGGGUUUCACCAUGUUGGCCAGGCUGGUCUUAAACUCCUGACCUCAAGUGAUCCACCUGCCUCAGCCUCCUAAAGUGCUGGGCAUAAGCCACCAUCCCUAGUCAGUGUGUGUGUUUUGAGGCAAGGUCUUGCUCUGUGGCAAAGGCUGGAGUGCAAUGGCACAGUCAUGGCUCACUGCAGCCUUGAUCUCCUGGGCUCAAGUGAUCUUCCCACCUCAGACCCUUGAGUAGCUGAGACCACAGGAAUGUACUACCACAUUCAGAUAAUUUUUAAAUUUUUUGUAGAGAUGGCAUCUUGCUAUAUUGCCCAGGCUGGUCUUGAACUCCUGGGCUCAAGCAAUCCUCCUGCCUCAGCCUCGCAAAAUAUUGGGAUUACAGGUGUGAGCUACUAUGUUUGGCCGUGUGUGUGCUUUCUAAUGCCUAUUGAAGGUGUGUUUUAAGUGCUUAUGGCAGAUGUCUGCCAUGCAAUCUAAAUGGCAAACCAAUCAGCUGGAUCAGUCUUACUUACAACACACCUGGCCUGUCCCUCAACUUUUCUAUUCUUUCACCAAAAUGGAAGUUCCUUAUGUUAGAGAACUUACAGAGAAAAGGAAGACAAAGAAAAAUAGGAAGGAGAGUUAAGCUCUGCCUGACACUGUCUACUUAAGUGAUGGGUAACUGAUUAGGCUCAGUGCUUAGAACUUCAUAUAAUGAGAUACAAAAUCUCAUUACUGACCCACUCUGCCAGCUAGAAGAGCACUUGUAGAUCAUGGACAUUUAGGUGGGGAUAUAGCCACCUUUGAUCCUUUCUGUUCACUAGAUUAAGCCUUGUUGCUAGUACAGGCAGGAGCCAACAUACCUUCCACACUCCAGCAAUCCUGUACACCUUGGGCUGAGUCAUAUGCUGAACAGUUAUUCAUGAAUACAGAUUCUUACUUAGAACUGAAGAAUUACCUGCUUCAAACCCUUCAUUAAGUAGAUAAGAGACUAAGGUCCAAAGGGGAUAACUGGCAUGCCCAAGGUUAACAGAGCAGAGCUCAAAUUAGAAUCCACAUCACCUGAUUUCCAUUCUACUAUUCUUGCCACAUGCCUUGGCACUUGGCAGUGACCUGGGAGUGAAUCACUAAUAACCAGCUGUGUGCUCUUUUAAAGCUACAGCUCUAUUAUUCUUUGAUGUCCAGAUAACAAUCUAUGCUCCAGCACCUGUUUAUAGACAUAAGCACACCCAUUUUUAUGUUUGCUUAUCCUCCUAUUGAAAAAUAUUUUAAAAGUUCAUUUUAAUGCUAAAUUUAGGUGUACUUUCUUUGUUAAUCUAAUUCUUGAGCACUCUGCCCCCUUCAGCAGUUCAUUUCUGAAAGUUACCUCCACCUGAAUAGCUCAAGCAUUGUGACAGCUGUGAUACAGGACUCAUGGAAACUGGGACAAGUGAUCAAAAAUGUCUGAGGGAGGAACAAUAGAGGGGACAUUUUAAAGGACUGUUACUUCAUAGUUUAUCCGGGGCAGAGAACAACAGCGGGCUACUCUCAAACCUGCUCUGGAGUUUCAGACUAGCAGCUGACAUUUUUGGGGACCUUUCUUUAAGCUUGACAUUGUAAACACUUUGUAUGUAUUAACCCACUUAAUCCUCAAAACAACCUUGAUGAGUAGGUAUCCUUAUCUUACGGAAGAGGAAGCUGAAGCACAGACAGGGUUAGUGACUUACCUAAGGUCACAGUGCUGGAAGGUAGCCGAGCUGGGAUUUGAACCCAGACAGCAUGUGGGUUCAGAGUGUUUUCAUUUUUAACUACUCUGCUAUAUUACCCUCUCUAGUUUUCAGUAUUCAUAUUAGCACCUCAGCCUUCCCCAGAUGACUACAAAUCCCAUACAUAUGUGUAUACACACAUACCCAGGGUCAUUCAUGAAAUCUGAAACUUCGGGUGUUCAAUUUGACUUUAUAGAACCUUCUACCUCUCCUGGCUGAUAGUAUCUCUUUCUCAUUUCACAAAUUAAACUUCCCAUAACACUACCUUAAACAUGCCACCCCUGCUCAAAAUACUCUGGUGGCUUCCUACGAUCUAUAAGAUGAAAGCUAACUUCCUUAGCUUGCCAUUCAAGGCCCUUCACAGUCUUUCCAGUCUUACUGUUUAUUCUAUCCCUACUUGAGCACAAAGCAUUUUUUUCUUUGAUCAUGCAUAGUCCUUCUUUCUUCAUUUUUUUAAGUGUACAAUUCAGUGGAUUUUAGUAUAUUCAGUGUUAUGCAACCAUCUCCACUAUCUAAUGCCAGAACAUUUUCAUCUCCGCUAUCUAAUGCCAGAACAUUAGAAACCCCGUACCGCAUAGCGGCCAUUCCCAAUUCACCCUUCCUCUUAUCCCCUAGCAACCACCAAUCUAUUUUCUGUCUUUACGAAUUAGCUUAUUCUGGGUAUUUCAUAUAAAUGGAAUCAUACAGUAUGUGGCCAUUUGUGUCUGGCUUGUUUCAUGUCACAAUUUUUCAAGGUUCAUCUGUGUCGCAGCAUGUGAUCAGGAUUUCAUUGUUUUCUUAUGGCUGAAUAACAUUCCAUUGUGUGGAUAUAACAUUUUGUGUAUUCAUUCAAUUUGUCCCAAUUGGUGGACAACUGGGUUGUUUCCACUUUUGGCUAUUAUAAUAAAGCUAUGAACAUUUGUGUACAA